rnacentral:tRNA from 1 species
GAGAAGUAACCAAGUGGCUGAAGGUAUCGGACUUGAAAUCCGACAGGUCGGUUCUCCGGCGCGGGGGUUCAAAUCCCCCCUUCUCC